ACGGGUGAGUAACGCGUGGGAACGUACCCUUUACUACGGAAUAACGCAGGGAAACUUGUGCUAAUACCGUAUGUGCCCUUUGGGGGAAAGAUUUAUCGGUAAAGGAUCGGCCCGCGUUGGAUUAGCUAGUUGGUGGGGUAAAGGCCUACCAAGGCGACGAUCCAUAGCUGGUCUGAGAGGAUGAUCAGCCACAUUGGGACUGAGACACGACCCAAACUCCUACGGGAGGCAGCAGUGGGGAAUAUUGGACAAUGGGCGCAAGCCUGAUCCAGCCAUGCCGCGUGAGUGAUGAAGGCCCUAGGGUUGUAAAGCUCUUUCACCGGAGAAGAUAAUGACGGUAUCCGGAGAAGAAGCCCCGGCUAACUUCGUGCCAGCAGCCGCGGUAAUACGAAGGGGGCUAGCGUUGUUCGGAAUUACUGGGCGUAAAGCGCACGUAGGCGGAUCGAUCAGUCAGGGGUGAAAUCCCAGGGCUCAACCCUGGAACUGCCUUUGAUACUGUCGAUCUGGAGUAUGGAAGAGGUGAGUGGAAUUCCGAGUGUAGAGGUGAAAUUCGUAGA
rnacentral:rRNA from 1 species